rnacentral:rRNA from 1 species
AUUGCACGCUGGCGGCAGGCCUAACCCAUGCAAGUCGAACGAGUGGCGGACGGGUGAGUAAUGUCUGGGAAACUGCCCGAUGGAGGGGGAUAACUACUGGAAACGGUAGCUAAUCCCGCAUACCAUCGGAUGUGCCCAGAUGGGAUUAGCUAGUAGGUGGGGUAACGGCUCACCUAGGCCACGAUCCCUAGCUGGUCUGAGAGGAUGACCAGCCACACUGGAACUGAGACACGGUCCAGACUCCUACGGGAGGCAGCAGUGGGUAAUAUUGCACAAUGGGCGCGAGCCUGAGGCAGCCAUGCCGCGUGUAUGAAGAAGGCCUUCGGGUUGUAAAGUACUUUCAGCGAGGAGGCGUUACUCGCAGAAGAAGCACCGGCCAACUCCGUGCCAGCCGCCGCGGUAAUAC